UAGGGAAUCUUCGNCAANGGACGGAAGUCUGACCGAGCAACGCCGCGUGAGUGAAGAAGGUUUUCGGAUCGUAAAGCUCUGUUGUAAGAGAAGAACGAGUGUGAGAGUGGAAAGUUCACACUGUGACGGUAUCUUACCAGAAAGGGACGGCUAACUACGUGCCAGCAGCCGCGGUAAUACGUAGGUCCCGAGCGUUGUCCGGAUUUAUUGGGCGUAAAGCGAGCGCAGGGGGUUAGAUAAGUCUGAAGUUAAAGGCUGUGGCUUAACCAUAGUACGCUUUGGAAACUGUUUAACUUGAGUGCAAGAGGGGAGAGUGGAAUUCCAUGUGUAGCGGUGAAAUGCGUAGAUAUAUGGAGGAACACCGGUGGCGAAAGCGGCUCUCUGGCUUGUAACUGACGCUGAGGCUCGAAAGCGUGGGGAGCAAACAGGAUUAGAUACCCUGGUAGUCCACGCCGUNNCGAUGAGUGCUAGGCGUUAGACCCUUUCCGGGGUUUAGUGCCGCAGCUAACGCAUUAAGCACUCCGCCUGGGGAGUACGACCGCNGUUG
rnacentral:rRNA from 1 species